CUAUUUCUCGAAAUUAUUUUUAUUUUCUUUUAAAUCUGAAAUAAAUUUUAUUUGAUCUAUCCGUCACGCUAAACUAGCGGAUCUAAUCGUCGGAUAUGUCAUCAUAAAUUUUAAUUAUUUUGUAUUCACGAUUUGGUUGUUUUGUUCUUUCGUGUUUCGUAAAGUGGUAGAUGUUCCAGAUUAUCCUUUCGUCACAGUCAGAGAUCUCGCCAAGGAUUUCCCGAUACAUGAUGGUCUCGAUCCUGAAUCUGUUUGUGAGAAAAUCAAACAAGGUCUGGAUUUUCCUGGUGAAGUGUCAUUCUCGGCUUAUUAUGGAGAAAAGACCUUCCCGGAUGUAGUACUGAAUAAAUACCGUGAUGCCGGAAUCACCCUCCAUCCCCAUGGUAAGUAUGCGUCUUCAACCACAUUUUUCUUUUUUAAUUACUUACAUAUAUCUCCCAUGAUAUUUAUACUUUAUAUUUUUCAAUGGGUAAAUGUACGAGAUUGAAUCAUAUGAUCCUCGACAUUCUUUUAUGGAAACUGGAUAAUGAUCCGGACUAUUUUCACCCAAGAAAUUUGGUGGUAAUCUCAAGAAACAUUUCGAAAGAUACGGUGUUCAGCAAUGUUCUCCGAGGGUUUCAGUCUAGUUGUACUGAUUAUAAUGUUGUCGUAGUACUACUGCAUGAUAACUUUGCAUCAAAGGGAAUGCCACCACUUGCUGAUGUAUGAAACCAUGCAUUUUUCGUUUGUUUGCUUCAUCUUUCUUCUCUAAAUACAAACUCUGUUUUAUGUUCAAAUUAUUUAUAUAUGAAGUCUUUUAAAUUAUAAUCUAGUUAAACUUUUCAAACUCAA